UACGUAGGGGGCUAGCGUUGCUCGGAAUCACUGGGCGUAAAGGGUGCGUAGGCGGUUCUUUAAGUCCGGGGUGAAAUCCUGGAGCUCAACUCCAGAACUGCCUUUGAUACUGAAGAUCUUGAGUCCGGGAGAGGUGAGUGGAACUGCGAGUGUAGAGGUGAAAUUCGUAGAUAUUCGCAAGAACACCAGUGGCGAAGGCGGCUCACUGGCCCGGUACUGACGCUGAGGCACGAAAGCGUGGGGAGCAAACAGG
rnacentral:rRNA from 1 species